AGAGUUUGAUCCUGGCUCAGGACGAACGUUGGCGGCGUGCUUAACACAUGCAAGUCGAACGAUUGAGAGGUGAGAGGUGAGAGGUUAGAAAUGAGAGUAAGGCGUGGAUAAUCUGCCUGUAAGACAGGGAUAACGCCGGGAAACCGGUGCUAAUACCCGAUAACCUCUUUGGAUCGCAUGAUAUGAAGAGAAAAGGUGGCCUCUUUACAAUGCUACCACUUACAGAUGAAUCCGCGUCCCAUUAGCCAGUUGGUGGGGUAAUGGCCUACCAAAGCGACGAUGGGUAGCCGGCCUGAGAGGGUGACCGGCCACACUGGAACUGAGAUACGGUCCAGACUCCUACGGGAGGCAGCAGUGGGGAAUAUUGCGCAAUGGGCGAAAGCCUGAUGCAGCGACGCCGCGUGAGUGAAGAAGGUCUUCGGAUCGUAAAACUCUGUCCUUGGUGAAGAAAAAAAUGACGGUAGCCAAGGAGGAAGCCCCGGCUAACUACGUGCCAGCAGCCGCGGUAAUACGUAGGGGGCAAGCGUUAUCCGGAAUUAUUGGGCGUAAAGAGUGCGUAGGUGGUUUUGUAAGCGCGAGGUGAAAGGCUAUGGCUCAACCAUAGUAAGCCUUGCGAACUGCAAGACUUGAGUGCAGGAGAGGAAAGUGGAAUUCCUAGUGUAGCGGUGAAAUGCGUAGAUAUUAGGAGGAACACCAGUGGCGAAGGCGACUUUCUGGACUGUAACUGACACUGAGGCACGAAAGCGUGGGGAGCAAACAGGAUUAGAUACCCUGGUAGUCCACGCCGUAAACGAUGAGCACUAGGUGUCGGGGUCUUCAAAGCCCGGUGCCGCAGUUAACGCAUUAAGUGCUCCGCCUGGGGAGUACGCACGCAAGUGUGAAACUCAAAGGAAUUGACGGGGACCCGCACAAGCAGCGGAGCAUGUGGUUUAAUUCGAAGCAACGCGAAGAACCUUACCAGGACUUGACAUCCCUCUGACCGGUCCGUAACGGGACCUUCCCUUCGGGGCAGAGGUGACAGGUGGUGCAUGGUUGUCGUCAGCUCGUGUCGUGAGAUGUUGGGUUAAGUCCCGCAACGAGCGCAACCCUUGUCAUUAGUUGCCAGCGUAAGGCUGGGCACUCUAGUGAGACUGCCGGGGAUAACUCGGAGGAAGGUGGGGAUGACGUCAAAUCAUCAUGCCCCUUAUGUUCUGGGCUACACACGUGCUACAAUGGCUGGUACAAAGAGACGCAAGACGGUGACGUGGAGCAAAUCUCAAAAACCGAUCUCAGUUCGGAUUGUAGGCUGCAACUCGCCUACAUGAAGUUGGAGUUGCUAGUAAUCGCGAAUCAGAAUGUCGCGGUGAAUGCGUUCCCGGGUCUUGUACACACCGCCCGUCA
rnacentral:rRNA from 1 species